CUUGGUCAUUUAGAGGAAGUAAAAGUCGUAACAAGGUUUCCGUAGGUGAACCUGCGGAAGGAUCAUUACAGAGAACAUCGCCCUUUAGGGUGACUCUCCAACCCUGUGUUUUUAUACCUUUGUUGCUUUGGCGAGCCGCUUCGGCCACCGGCUUUAUGCUGGUGAGUGCUCGCCAGAGGACCAUAAACUCUUGAAUUUUAUUAUCGUCUGAGUACUAUAUAAUAGUUAAAACUUUCAACAACGGAUCUCUUGGUUCUGGCAUCGAUGAAGAACGCAGCGAAAUGCGAUAAGUAAUGUGAAUUGCAGAAUUCAGUGAAUCAUCGAAUCUUUGAACGCACAUUGCGCCCUGUGGUAUUCCGCAGGGCAUGCCUGUUCGAGCGUCAGUACAACACUCAAGCUCAGCUUGGUCUUGAGCCCAGCGGUCACCCGCAGGCUUUAAAAUCAGUGGCGGCGCCAUCUGGCUCUAAGCGUAGUAAUUAAACCCCUCGCUAUUGAGUUCAGGUGGAUGCUAGCCAGCAACCCCCAACUUUCUAAGUUUGACCUCGGAUCAGGUAGGGAUACCCGCUGAACUUAAGCAUAUCAAUAAGCGGAGGAAAAGAAACCAACAGGGAUUGCCUCAGUAACGGCGAGUGAAGCGGCAACAGCUCAAAUUUGAAAUCUGGCUCUUUUAGGGUCCGAGUUGUAAUUUGUAGAAGAUGCUUCGGGUGUGGCUCCGGUCUAAGUUCCUUGGAACAGGACGUCAUAGAGGGUGAGAAUCCCGUACGUGACUGGUUGCCUUCGCCCAUGUGAAGCUCUUUCGACGAGUCGAGUUGUUUGGGAAUGCAGCUCAAAAUGGGUGGUAAAUUUCAUCUAAAGCUAAAUAUUGGCCAGAGACCGAUAGCGCACAAGUAGAGUGAUCGAAAGAUGAAAAGCACUUUGGAAAGAGAGUUAAACAGUACGUGAAAUUGUUGAAAGGGAAGCGCUUGCAACCAGACUUGCACGUUGUCGAUCAUCUGGGGUUCUCUCCAGUGCACUCGAUUUCGUUCAGGCCAGCAUCGGUUUGGGUGGUUGGAUAAAGGCCUUGAGAAUGUAGCUUCUUUCGGGAAGUGUUAUAGCUCUCGGUGCAAUGCAGCCUUUCCGGACCGAGGACCGCGCUUCGGCUAGGAUGCUGGCGUAAUGGUUGUAAGCGACCCGUCUUGAAACACGGACC
rnacentral:rRNA from 1 species